AGUGAACGCUGGCGGUAGGCCUAACACAUGCCAGUCGAACGGCAGCACAGUAAGAGCUUGCUCUUACGGGUGGCGAGUGGCGGACGGGUGAGGAAUACAUCGGAAUCUACUUUUUCGUGGGGGAUAACGUCGGGAAACUUACGCUAAUACCGCAUACGACCUACGGGUGAAAGCAGGGGAUCUUCGGACCUUGCGCGAUUGAAUGAGCCGAUGUCGGAUUAGCUAGUUGGCGGGGUAAAGGCCCACCAAGGCGACGAUCCGUAGCUGGUCUGAGAGGAUGAUCAGCCACACUGGAACUGAGACACGGUCCAGACUCCUACGGGAGGCAGCAGUGGGGAAUAUUGGACAAUGGGCGCAAGCCUGAUCCAGCCAUACCGCGUGGGUGAAGAAGGCCUUCGGGUUGUAAAGCCCUUUUGUUGGGAAAGAAAAGCAGCAGGUUAAUACCCCGCUGUUCUGACGGUACCCAAAGAAUAAGCACCGGCUAACUUCGUG
rnacentral:rRNA from 1 species